GCGGAGCGUCGGUGGAGAGGAGCGAACAUAUUAGUCUAUAAGAUAAACAACGAGUUAUUUGUCCAAUUUUAUACUCAAGGAGGUACUUCAGCGCAAACCAAGAACGAUGACUGGUUCGAACGAGUACAAACUGAACCAGGGCCCGGAGGACAGCAUCUCUGCUGUGAAGUUCAGCCCCAGUACCGGCCAGUUUCUUCUAGUGUCCUCUUGGGACUGUACUGUCCGGCUCUACGAUGUGGGAGGCAACUCCAUGAGGAUCAAGUAUUCACACCUGGCACCUGUGCUGGAUUGUGCUUUCUAUGACCCUACACAUGCCUGGAGCGGAGGCUUGGACACACAGUUGAAAACCCACGACUUGAAUACAGAUCAAGAUACAAUAGUUGGGACACACGAUGCCCCCAUUCGCUGUGUGGAAUACUGUCCAGAGGUCAACGUCAUGGUAACAGGUAGCUGGGACAGGUCAGUCAGGCUGUGGGACCCCAGGACUCCCUGCAACGCUGGCACCUUCACACAGCCUGAAAAGGUGUACACCCUCUCUGUGGCUGGAGACCGUCUGAUAGUGGGGACAGCAGGGAGAAGGGUGUUGGUCUGGGACCUGAGGAAUAUGGGCUAUGUCCAGCAGAGGAGAGAGUCCAGUCUGAAAUACCAGACACGUGCCAUCAGGGCCUUCCCCAACAAACAGGGCUACGUCCUGAGCUCCAUAGAAGGGCGUGUUGCCGUGGAGUACCUGGACCCCAGCCAAGAGGUGCAGAAGAAGAAGUACGCCUUCAAGUGCCACAGGCUGAAGGAGAACGGGAUCGAACAGGUCUACCCUGUCAACGCAAUCUCCUUCCACAGUGUUCACAACACCUUCGCCACAGGUGGCUCAGACGGCUUUGUCAACAUCUGGGACCCUUUCAACAAGAAGCGUCUGUGCCAGUUCCACCGCUACCCUAGCUCUAUCGCCUCCCUGGCCUUCAGUAACGACGGCUCCACGCUGGCCAUCGCCUCCUCCUACAUGCAGGAGCAGGGAGACAUCAGCCACCCCGAGGACACCAUCUUCAUCCGCCAGGUCACAGACGCGGAGACUAAGCCCAAGUGAAGCCGGUCAGUCUUCUGUCUGUUUCACACAAUAGGGCCCCGGCCUGCUUGGGAACCGUGCUGGCUCAGGUCGUUUCUUUUUCACGUUGUCCUUUUUUCCCGGCACGGUUAGCUCCAUCGUGUACUGCAUGGUGGAUCCAGGCCAGUACGGCUCGGCUUGGUUUGGCUUGGCCCUAUAGUGUGAAGCAGGCCACUCCAGUCUGCAUCCCAGUGGUCUCGUCUGGACUGCACCGACACAAUGCCGCUCACACUGCUUCUUCUUUGGUACGUGUGAAUGGCAGCAUUGACAAGGAGCAGGCAGCUGGUGUCCAUCUGACCGUCUGUAUCUAGCUGUCUUUCUCUAGCUCUUCUCCACCGUUUUCAAUAUCCCAUAGUUGACGACAAAAUGAGGACUUGGAGAAAAUGGCUACCCCCUUAUCUGUUCAUGUAUUUGGAUGUGUGGUUCAAGAGUCCUAAAGGAAGCUGACUGGCUCAAUCUAUACAGUACAACCUUCGCUGACCAUCAUUCAUCAGCCUAUAUUUGUUGGAUUUCACGUUUUUUUUACUGUGCCCGUUUUUAUUAGUACUUAAAAAUAAAUGUGCUUUAUUAACAAACUGUAAAAGGACUACACCCACGUCUUCAGUUGUAUCUAGCCCCACCCCCUCGCAUAAACUGGUGACAUUAGGUUCAGUUGUAUCUAGCCCCACCCCCUCGCAUAAACUGGUGACAUUAGGUUCAGUUGUAUCUAGCCCCCACCCCCUCGCAUAAACUGGUGAAAUUAGGUUCAGUUGUAUCUAGCCCCACCCCCUCGCAUAAACUGGUGAAAUUAGGUUCAGUUGUAUCUAGCCCCACCCCCUCGCAUAAACUGGUGAAAUUAGGUUCAGUUGUAUCUAGCCCCACCCCCUCGCAUGAACAGGUGAAAUUAGGUUGUUGCAGCGUUCUUCUCAAACUAAACUAGACCAAUUGAAAAGGAAUAAAGUUUUUCUCUAAUGACAUGACUAUUGAUUUGUCUAAUAGUCUUUGUUUACGGAUAAAGACAAAAUCCAAUUUGUUUGCGGUAAUGCAGUUUCCAAUAAUCAAUAAAGACAUGAUAAUGACUCCAGAGAGCCUGUUCUAACAGGUUAAUUGAUGUGGCAGAGCGUUUUGUGGGUCCUUCUGUGAUGAGAUGCAGAACUAUGAACCCACUGCUUCAGAUGGGUAGUUUCUAAAGCAGUUGGCAAAGCAUAAAGACGGGCAACUCUCAGGACCUGUUUCUCUCUUAAAGUGAAUUACAGAAGCCCGUAACGAGGUUUCAGCCCUGUCCCCCUCCAUAUCAUAACAGAUGGGGCAGGCCAUUCAUUCAUAGAUUAAAAAAGCUGAAUUGAGCCAGAAGCUUUGUUUUUCAGUUGUCUGGUUUCUGUCAAUGGUGAAGGAGGCAGUUGAGGGGAAAUCUGAGGGACUUUGGUAUUCUGUUUUCACUCUGCUCAAUUGAUUUGAUUGUAAGAAGGGCCUGCUUUUUUUACCCAGUCUUUUAUUUGACUGCGUAAGGAAAGUGAAAAGAAGAGAGAUUGUGUUCUGGCUUUCCCAGUGGAGUGGGACGGCUGAGUUGGUUACUGUCUCAACACUGGUCCUUGGAAUGGUUUCUUCUCAAGUCAAGUUGACCUUACAUUUAUAUUUACAUUUUAGUCAUUUAGCAGACGCUCUUAUCCAGAGCGACUUACAGUUAGUGAGUGCAUA